rnacentral:rRNA from 1 species
UGGGGAAUAUUGCGCAAUGGGCGAAAGCCUGACGCAGCAACGCCGCGUGAGUGAUGAAGGCCUUCGGGUUGUAAAGCUCUUUCGGCCGGGAAGAAGGGACAAGAUGUGAAUAGCAUUUUGUUUUGAUGGUACCGGAAGAAGAAGCACCGGCUAACUUCGUGCCAGCAGCCGCGGUAAUACGAAGGGUGCGAGCGUUGUUCGGAAUUACUGGGCGUAAAGGGUUCGUAGGCGGGAAUUUAAGUCAAGUGUGAAAUCUCCGAGCUUAACUUGGAACGUGCAUUUGAAACUGGGUUUCUUGAGUGUUGGAGAGGGUAGUGGAAUUGUUGGUGUAGGAGUGACAUCCGUAGAGAUCAGCAGGAACAUCAGAUGCGAAAGCGACUGCCUGGCCAAUAACUGACGC